rnacentral:lncRNA from 1 species
UAAUUAAUUUUAAGAAUCUAAAUCUAUGUGUUUAUUUACUACCUUAGUUCAUAUGACUUGAGUCUAUUCUUGCUUCUGUUUACUGCUUACCUAGCAUGCCAAGUACUGCCUAUUCAAAUCCGUGAUUAGCAUGUUUCCACUUUACUUGCUUGUCUGCUAUAUUGAUUAACAUGUCUACAUAUGUAGCUAGCCUGUUUGACUGACUGUUGUUUAUCUAGCAUGCCUAAACUUUGCUUUUUUGUAACUAGUAUGCCUACACUUGUUAAUAUUUUCCUAGCACGUCC